rnacentral:tRNA from 1 species
GCCCGGCGGGCUCAGUCAGUAGAGUGUGUGACUCGUGAUCUCAGGAUUGUGAGUUCAAGCCCCACACUGGGUG